AGUGAACGCUGGCGGUAGGCCUAACACAUGCAAGUCGAACGGCAGCACAGUAAGAGCUUGCUCUUACGGGUGGCGAGUGGCGGACGGGUGAGGAAUACAUCGGAAUCUACUUUUUCGUGGGGGAUAACGUAGGGAAACUUACGCUAAUACCGCAUACGACCUACGGGUGAAAGCAGGGGAUCUUCGGACCUUGCGCGAUUGAAUGAGCCGAUGUCGGAUUAGCUAGUUGGCGGGGUAAAGGCCCACCAAGGCGACGAUCCGUAGCUGGUCUGAGAGGAUGAUCCGCCACACUGGAACUGAGAAACGGUCCAGACCCCUACGGGAGGGAGCAGUGGGGAAUAUUGGACAAUGGGCGCAAGCCUGAUCCAGCCAUACCGCGUGGGUGAAGAAGGCCUUCGGGUUGUAAAGCCCUUUUGUUGGGAAAGAAAAGCAGCAGGUUAAUACCCCGCUGUUCUGACGGUACCCAAAGAAUAAGCACCGGCUAACUUCGUG
rnacentral:rRNA from 1 species